rnacentral:rRNA from 1 species
GUAGCGAAGUAGCUGAUUUCACACUGUCAAGAAAAGUCUCUAUCGAGGUUAAAGGUACCCGUACCGCAAACCGACACAGGUGGGUGAGGAGAGUAUCCUAAGGCCAGCGAGAGAACUGUUGUUAAGGAACUCGGCAAAAUGACCCCGUAACUUAGGGAUAAGGGGUGCCACCAUCAGGUGGCCGCAGAGAAUAGGCCCAAGCGACUGUUUACCAAAAACAUAGGUUUCUGCUAAGUCGCAAGACGAUGUAUAGGAGCUGACGCCUGCCCGGUGCUGGAAGGUUAAGGGGAUCUGUUAGAGCAAUCGAAGCAGUGAACUUAAGCCCCAGUAAACGGCGGCCGUAACUAUAACGGUCCUAAGGUAGCGAAAUUCCUUGUCGGGUAAGUUCCGACCCGCACGAAAGGCGUAACGAUUUGGGCACUGUCUCAACAACAGACUCGGUGAAAUUGUAAUUCCGGUGAAGAUGCCGGAUACCUGCGACAGGACGGAAAGACCCCAUGGAGCUUUACUGUAGCUUGACAUUGGGUCUUGGUACUACAUGUACAGGAUAGGUGGGAGGCUUUGAAACCAGGACGCCAGUUUUGGCGGAGCCAUCCUUGGGAUACCACCCUUGUA